rnacentral:rRNA from 1 species
CCAAUAGCGUAUAUUAAAGUUGUUGCAGUUAAAAAGCUCGUAGUUGAAUUUCGGGGUUAGUAGGUUGGUCAUGCCUCUGGUAUGUACUGGUCUCACUGAUUCCUCCUUCCUUAUGAACCGUAAUGCCAUUAAUUUGGUGUUGCGGGAAAUUUGGACUGUUACUUUGAAAAAAUUAGAGUGUUUAAAGCAGGCUAACGCUUGAAUACAUUAGCAUGGAAUAAUGAAAUAGGACGUUCGAUCUUAUUUUGUUGGUUUCUAGGAUUGACGUAAUGAUUAAUAGGGAUAGUUGGGGGCAUUAGUAUUCAAUUGUCAGAGGUGAAAUUCUUGGAUUUAUUGAAGACUAACUACUGCGAAAGCAUUUGCCAAGGAUGUUUUCAUUAAUCAAGAACGAAAGUUAGGGGAUCGAAGACGAUCAGAUACCGUCGUAGUCUUAACCAUAAACUAUGCCGACUAGGGAUCGGAUGAUGUUAAUUUUUUAAUGACUCAUUCGGCGCCUUACG